rnacentral:misc_RNA from 1 species
GAAUAUAUUUUAAUCUAUAGUUAUUUCUUGGUUUGCUGAAAAUCUGUGUUAUUUUAUGUCUAUAUAUAUCUUUUAGGACUAAAAAAAGGAUUCUGUUUCUGCUGCUGAAUCAGAAGAGAAGUUAAUUGGAGAUCUCAUAAAGAUGGAAAGCAAGAGGGAUGGAAAUGAUGAAUCCUUUGUUUUAAUCAAGCAAGGAGCUGAG